rfam:Lepisosteus oculatus linkage group LG12, whole genome shotgun sequence.
GCCAGCAGCCAUAUCACCCUGCAGCUCACAACUGGCAGCCUACCAAAGGUCAGCAGGUGUGAGCCUGGUCAGUACCUGGAGGGGAGACCUCCUGGGAAAAACUAAGGCCGCUGCUGGAA